CCUACGGGAGGCAGCAGUGAGGAAUCUUGGUCAAUGGACGAGAGCCUGAACGAGCCACGCAGCGUGAAGGAUGACUGCCCUCUGGGUUGUAAACUUCUUUUAUAUGGGAAUAAAAUGUUGCAAGUGUGGGAUUAUGUUUGUACCAUAUGAAUAAGGAUAGGCUAACUACGCUCCAGCAGCCGCGGUAAUACGGAGGAUCCGAGCGUUAUCCGGAUUUAUUGGGUUUAAAGGGAGCGUAGGUGGACUGUUAAGUCAGUUGUGAAAGUUUGCGGCUCAACCGGAAAAUUGCAGUUGAAACUGGCAGUCUUGAGUGCAGUAGAGGUGGGCGGAAUUCGAGGUGUAGCGGUGAAAUGCGUAGAUAUCUCGAAGAACUCCAGUUGCGAAGGUAGCUCACUGGACUGCAACUGACACUGAGGCUCGAAAGUGUGGGUAGCAAACAGGAUUAGAUACCCUGGUAGUC
rnacentral:rRNA from 1 species